GGUCUAAACCAGGACAAAACCAGGACUAAAACCAGGACUAAACCAGGACUAAAACCAAGACUAAACCAGGACUAAAACCAGGACUAAAACCAGGACUAAACCAGGACUAAAACCAGGACUAAACCAGGACUAAAACCAGGACUAAACCAGGACUAAAACCAGGACUAAACCAGGACUAAAACCAGGACUAAACCAGGACUAAAACCAGGACUAAAACCAGGACUAAAACCAGGACUAAACCAGGACUAAAACCAGGACUAAACCAGGACUAAAACCAGGUCUAAACCAGGACUAAAACCAGG